UACAGAGGGGGCUAGCGUUGUUCGGAAUUACUGGGCGUAAAGGGCGCGUAGGUGGCCUGUUAAGUCGAACGUGAAAUCCCCGGGCUCAACCCGGGAACUGCGUCCGAGACUGGCAGGCUCGAAUCCGGGAGAGGGAUGUGGAAUUCCAGGUGUAGCGGUGAAAUGCGUAGAUAUCUGGAGGAACACCGGUGGCGAAGGCGGCAUCCUGGACCGAAACUGACGCUGAGGCGCGAAAGCCAGGGGAGCAAACGGG
rnacentral:rRNA from 1 species